AUAGCUUUAGGCUGCGUGUUGCAGUAUGUGUAUCGUGUGUAUGUGUGCGCGUGCGCGUACGUGUAUGAAAGGGUUGACCAUGCUGCAUAUAGUCGAUUCGGUUUGGCAAAUAUUUCGAGUGGUUGUUUUGUUUUUAUAGUAUUUUCCUCGUUACCGGGAAAAAGUUUAAUCUAUAACAAUCGAAUUGAAAUUAAUAUUGGUUAAAUUAUGUUAGCCGAUAUAGCAAGCAAAUUAAUCGUAAUAUACUGUUAAAUAUUAUAUAAUCUAGUAUUACACUAUCUAAUACGUUUUACAGGGUCCUAAAAUCAAAAAUGACGUUGAUUUUUCUCGCGUUUAUAAUAAAAUGAUAUGUAUUUUUUUUUUUUUUUCGGAUAUUUGCCGAAAACGUCUACUAUCGUAUCUUUUUCUCGCUAAUUUUGGUUACUUUGAGUGGAUCCCUUUGGACUAAGUGGGCCAGAAGUCGGGAAUCAUAAAGUUUUGUUUUAAGUGGAUUUAACUGAUUUAAUUGUACGAUGUUGUUGCGAGAGGAGAGUGUUUUUUAAGUUUGGGUACACUCGUACACACUCCUUAGAUGAUCCCAAGAGGAUAAAAUGUCGUAUGGCAAGGUGUGAUUAUAAUUUAUAUACCUAUACCUAUAAUAAUAUAAACAGAGUGGUCAAACAAAAAACAAAAUAGGGAAACAUGUAUAAUGCCUACUAAAGUUGUUCGAUGUAUAAAUAUCUAAAACAAUUUGUAUACAU